CGGCUUAGGAUGAACGCUAGCUACAGGCUUAACACAUGCAAGUCGAGGGGCAGCAUGAAUCAAGCUUGCUUGAUUGAUGGCGACCGGCGCACGGGUGCGUAACACGUAUCCAAUCUACCCAUGGCUCAGGGAUAGCCUUUCGAAAGAAAGAUUAAUACCUGAUGGUUUCAUGAGCCCGCAUGGACUUAUGAAUAAAGAUUUAUCGGCGAUGGAUGAGGAUGCGUCCGAUUAGAUAGUAGGCGGGGUAACGGCCCACCUAGUCGACGAUCGGUAGGGGCUCUGAGAGGAGGAUCCCCCACAUUGGAACUGAGACACGGUCCAAACUCCUACGGGAGGCAGCAGUGAGGAAUAUUGGUCAAUGGGCGAGAGCCUGAACCAGCCAAGUAGCGUGAAGGGAUGACUGCCCUAUGGGUUGUAAACCUCUUUUGUUUGGGAAUAAAGUGAGCCACGUGUGGCUUUUUGUAUGUACCUUACGAAUAAGCAUCGGCUAAUUCCGUGCCAGCCGCUGC
rnacentral:rRNA from 1 species